GACGAACGCUGGCGGCGUGCCUAAUACAUGCAAGUAGAACGCUGAAGAGAGGAGCUUGCUCUUCUUGGAUGAGUUGCGAACGGGUGAGUAACGCGUAGGUAACCUGCCUUGUAGCGGGGGAUAACUAUUGGAAACGAUAGCUAAUACCGCAUAACAAUGGAUGACCCAUGUCAUUUAUUUGAAAGGGGCAAAUGCUCCACUACAAGAUGGACCUGCGUUGUAUUAGCUAGUAGGUGAGGUAACGGCUCACCUAGGCGACGAUACAUAGCCGACCUGAGAGGGUGAUCGGCCACACUGGGACUGAGACACGGCCCAGACUCCUACGGGAGGCAGCAGUAGGGAAUCUUCGGCAAUGGGGGCAACCCUGACCGAGCAACGCCGCGUGAGUGAAGAAGGUUUUCGGAUCGUAAAGCUCUGUUGUAAGUCAAGAACGAGUGUGAGAGUGGAAAGUUCACACUGUGACGGUAGCUUACCAGAAAGGGACGGCUAACUACGUGCCAGCAGCCGCGGUAAUACGUAGGUCCCGAGCGUUGUCCGGAUUUAUUGGGCGUAAAGCGAGCGCAGGCGGUUUGAUAAGUCUGAAGUUAAAGGCUGUGGCUCAACCAUAGUUCGCUUUGGAAACUGUCAAACUUGAGUGCAGAAGGGGAGAGUGGAAUUCCAUGUGUAGCGGUGAAAUGCGUAGAUAUAUGGAGGAACACCGGUAGCGAAAGCGGCUCUCUGGUCUGUAACUGACGCUGAGGCUCGAAAGCGUGGGGAGCGAACAAGAGUAGAUACCCUGGUAGUCCACGCCGUAAACGAUGAGUGCUAGGUGUUGGAUCCUUUCCGGGAUUCAGUGCCGCAGCUAACGCAUUAAGCACUCCGCCUGGGGAGUACGACCGCAAGGUUGAAACUCAAAGGAAUUGACGGGGGCCCGCACAAGCGGUGGAGCAUGUGGUNUAAUUCGAAGCAACGCGAAGAACCUUACCAGGUCUUGACAUCCCGAUGCUAUUUCUAGAGAUAGAAAGUUACUUCGGUACAUCGGUGACAGGUGGUGCAUGGUUGUCGUCAGCUCGUGUCGUGAGAUGUUGGGUUAAGUCCCGCAACGAGCGCAACCCCUAUUGUUAGUUGCCAUCAUUCAGUUGGGCACUCUAGCGAGACUGCCGGUAAUAAACCGGAGGAAGGUGGGGAUGACGUCAAAUCAUCAUGCCCCUUAUGACCUGGGCUACACACGUGCUACAAUGGUUGGUACAACGAGUUGCGAGUCGGUGACGGCAAGCUAAUCUCUUAAAGCCAAUCUCAGUUCGGAUUGUAGGCUGCAACUCGCCUACAUGAAGUCGGAAUCGCUAGUAAUCGCGGAUCAGCACGCCGCGGUGAAUACGUUCCCGGGCCUUGCACA
rnacentral:rRNA from 1 species